rnacentral:tRNA from 1 species
AAGGAUUUAAGUUAAACAAACUCUUAACCUUCAAAGUUAAAAAUAGAUAUCUUUCUAAGCCUUA